AUGACUAUUUCUUCUAAAACUGUUCAAAUUCUUGAUUUAUUUUUUGUAUUGUACUUGUUUUUGGAACUUAAUUGAUUGAAAGAUAUGCAAGAAGAAUGUUUUAGGGUU